rnacentral:misc_RNA from 1 species
ACCCACACACGCGAGAGGCCAUUUCAGUGCCCUUCGUGUCCUCGAAGCUUCUCACAAAAGAAUCAUCUGAACCGGCACUUGCGCACCCACACAGGCGAGAGGCCGUUUCAGUGCGCUUUGUGUCCUCUAAGCUUCUCACGAAAGGAUACUCUGAACUCGCAUCUGCGCACCCACACAGGCGAGAAGCCAUUGCAGUGCCCUUCAUGCCCUCAGAGCUUCUCUCAAAAGCGUACUCUGAACCACCACUUGCGCACCCACACAGGCGAGAAUCCAUUUCAAUGCCCUUCGUGCCUUCAGAGCUUCUCACAGAAGAGUGAUCUGAACCAGCACCUGCACACCCACACAGGCGAGAGGCCGUUUCAGUGCGCUUUGUGUCCUCUAAGCUUCUCACGAAAGGAUACUCUGAACCACCACCUGCGCACCCACACAGGCGAGAAGCCAUUUCAAUGCCCGUCAUGCCUUCGGAGCUUCUCAAAAAAGAUUAAUCUGAACCAGCACCUGCGCACCCACACAGGCGAGAGGCCAUUUCAGUGCCCUUUGUGUCCUAUAAGCUUCUCGCGAAAGGAUACUCUGAACUCGCAUCUGCGCACGCACACAGGCGAGAAGCCAUUUCAAUGCCCUUCGUGCCCUCAGAGAUUCUCGUAUAAGCAUGUUCUGAACCGACACCUGCACACCCACACAGGAGAAGCCAUUUCAGUGCCCUUUAUGCCCCCAAAGCUUCUCAGAAAAGGCGAUAUGGAAGGUUCACCUGGACUUCCACUAAUGUGAGAGGCUGUUUAAGGGCCAUUCAUGUCCUGAGAACUUCCUGUGGAAGUUUGUAUUAAACCAAAAGCCUCACAUUCAUACAGGCGGGCAGCCAUUUCAGUGCCCUGCAUGCCCUCAGCAAUCCUCAAAAGUCCUUACUGAAGGAUCACGUGUGCAUCCACUCAGCGAGAGGCCAUGUCAGUGCUCUUCACGUACUCGGAGGUACUCAGAAGUUUGCACUGAACUUCACUUCCACUAAUGUGAGAGGCUGAUUCAGGGCCCUUCAUGUCCUGAGAACUUGUCAUGGAAGUCUGCACUGAACCGACACCUGCUCGUCCACACAAAGUCCGUGGUGAAGGAUCACCUGUGUAUCCACUCAGGGAGAUGCCAUGUCAGGGCUCUUCAUGUCCUCAGAGUUACUUGCAGAAGUUCGCACUGAACUGACACAUGCACAACCCACAUAAGCGAGAGGUCGUUUCAGUGCCACUUAAGCUGUCAAACCGUCGGACACCAAAGCCACCUCAAUAGGCACCUUGCCACCACAAGUGCACCUGACACAUGUGGUGCAGCAGUGCUGAGUUGUGUGCACUCCUCAUUGUUCCUUCUUGCUUUUCAUGUUUUCCUUAGUUUUUUCAUGGAAUCUCAGUGUAUGUGACGCCUGUAGUUCUAUACUAGCAUGAAUCAUUGUAAGUCUUCACUUUUCAUUAUUAUGAUGUUUAAGCUCUUUGUCUUGCAGAGCACUUCUUUCUGCAUUCAAGCGUUUAACUGCUCUUUACUAAAGAGUUGUGCGAGUUUGUUUCAGUGCACUAAAUAAAAUUUGGGAUUGGGUUUUGCUAAUUAUUGGUGUUUCAAUACUUGCACUAAUAUCACGUAAUGUUUCAAUUCAUUCGCAUUUAUUGUGCUGAACAGUUCAAGAUAA